rnacentral:rRNA from 1 species
UUAAAUGAAUAAGGGCGUAUGGUGGAUGCCUAGGCAUGUAGAGCAGAAGAAGGACGCAGCUAACGGCGAAACGCGACGGGGAGUGGUAAGCACACAUCGAUCCGUCGGUCUCCGAAUGGGGAAACCCAGCGCGAGUAAUGUCGCGUUACCCAUGAGUGAAUACAUAGCUCAUGAGGAGAGAACCCAGGGAAUUGAAACAUCUUAGUACCUGGAGGAAAAGAAAAUAACAAUGAUUCCCUUAGUAGCGGCGAGCGAACGGGGAAGAGCCCAAACCAGCCUUAGGGCUGGGGUAGUAGGACCACGACGUGGUACAGUAACCGAUAGAAGAAGGACAUUGAAAGGUCCGCCAAAGAGGGUGCAAGCCCCGUAAUCGAAAUUGGGAGCUGACCUAGUGGAAUCCUGAGUACGGCGAGGCACGUGGAACCUUGUCGGAAGCAUCCGGGACCAUCCGGAAAGGCUAAAUACUCCUACAUGACCGAUAGUGAACCAGUACCGUGAGGGAAAGGUGAAAAGAACCGCGGGAGCGGAGUGAAAUAGAACCUGAAACCAUAUGCUUACAAGAAGACAGAGCCCGUUAAGGGGUGAUGUCGUGCCUUUUGUAGAAUGAACCGGCGAGUUAUCUUAUCGUGCGAGGUUAAGUGGAAGACACGGAGCCGAAGCGAAAGCGAGUCUGAAUAGGGCGGGAGUACGAUGAGAUAGACCCGAAGCCGUAGUGAUCUAGCCAUGACCAGGUUGAAGUUUGGGUGAAACCAAAUGGAGGACCGAACCGACCCCCGUUGAAAAGUUGGCGGAUGAGUUGUGGCUAGCGGAGAAAUUCCAAUCGAACUCGGAGAUAGCUGGUUCUCCCCGAAAUAGCUUUAGGGCUAGCGUCGAAGUAAGGGUAGUGGAGGUAGAGCACUGAAUUCAUGAUGGCGCCGUCAAGGUGUACUGAAUGAAAUCAAACUCCGAAUGCCAUUAUGUCAUCUUCGGCAGUCAGACUGUGGGUGAUAAGGUCCAUGGUCAAAAGGGAAACAGCCCAGAUCAUCAGUUAAGGUCCCAAAAUUACCGCUAAGUGGAAAAGGAUGUGGGGAUGCACAGACAACUAGGAGGUUGGCUUAGAAGCAGCCACCCUUCAAAGAGUGCGUAACAGCUCACUAGUCGAGUGACCCUGCGCCGAAAAUUAACCGGGGCUAAGCGGUAUACCGAAACUAUGGCAAUGAUGUAAAUCAUUGGGUAGGGGAGCGUUCCAUGGGCGUUGAAGCUGUACCGUAAGGAGCAGUGGAGCGCAUGGAAGUGAGAAUGCCGGUGUGAGUAGCGAGAUGCAGGUGAGAAUCCUGCACACCGAUAGACCAAGGAUUCCAGGGGAAGGUUCGUCCGCCCUGGGUAAGUCGGGACCUAAGGCGAGGCUGAAAAGCGUAGUCGAUGGAAAACAGGUUGAUAUUCCUGUACCCGCGCAUCGAGUGAUGGAGUGACAAAGAAGGCUAACCGGACCGGUGAAUGGAUUCCGGACCAAGCGAGGUAGGAGGCAGUCAGGCAAAUCCGGCUGUCAAUCUGAAGGCGUGAUGGGGAGUGAACAGCGCGAGCUAAGUAGCGAAGACGGCGAUGCCAGCUUUCAAGAAAAGCUUCUAGCGCUAAUCGAUGAGCGGCCCGUACCAAAACCGACACAGGUGGUCAAGGCGAGAAGCCUAAGGUGAGCGAGAGAACUGUUGCCAAGGAACUCGGCAAAAUAGCCCCGUACGUUCGCAAGAAGGGGCGCUCGAAAGAGCCGCAGUGAAGAGGCCCAAGCAACUGUUUAACUAAAACACAGCUCUCUGCAAAGUCGCAAGACGAAGUAUAGGGGGUGACGCCUGCCCGGUGCUGGAAGGUUAAGAGGAUAUGUUAGUCGCAAGACGAAGCAUUGAAUUGAAGCCCCAGUGAACGGCGGCCGUAACUAUAACGGUCCUAAGGUAGCGAAAUUCCUUGUCAGGUAAGUUCUGACCCG